rnacentral:rRNA from 1 species
AGAACGAACGCUGGCGGCAUGCCUAAUACAUGCAAGUCGAACGAACUCUUCGGAGUUAGUGGCGCACGGGUGCGUAACGCGUGGGAAUCUGCCCCUUGGUUCGGAAUAACAGUUGGAAACGACUGCUAAUACCGGAUGAUGACGAAAGUCCAAAGAUUUAUCGCCAAGGGAUGAGCCCGCGUAGGAUUAGCUAGUUGGUGAGGUAAAGGCUCACCAAGGCAACGAUCCUUAGCUGGUCUGAGAGGAUGAUCAGCCACACUGGGACUGAGACACGGCCCAGACUCCUACGGGAGGCAGCAGUAGGGAAUAUUGGACAAAUGGGCGAAAGCCUGAUCCAGCAAUGCCGCGUGAGUGAUGAAGGCCUUAGGGUUGUAAAGCUCUUUUACCCGAGAUGAUAAUAGAACAGUAAUCGGAAGAAGUAAACGCCCGGACUAACUCCGU